rnacentral:rRNA from 1 species
AUGUCCAUCAACCAUCAAUGCAAUAAUCCACGUACGGUUGUGAGCGGUUCACCAGCAAGAUACAUAGAGGUUACAGAGAAGCCAGCAGCAGCAAGCAAGAUUGAGCAUUCACGGAUGGUGGCCGGGGCCGUGGUGCAGGCGUCAUCGGUGUUCGCCGCCUUCGACAAGGACGGCGACGGCAAGGUGUCGGCCGCCGAGCUGCGCGGCUCCAUGACGGCGGCGCUGGGCGAGGAGGUUUCCGAGGAGGAGGCCGCGGCGAUCCUGGCCACGGUGGACGCCGACGGCGACGGGCUGCUGGACCAGGAGGAGUUCUCCCGGCUCGGGCUCGGCGCCGCCGGAGACAACGGUGGGGCGGCCGGAGACGACGACGACGACGAGGUGAGGCGGCGGUGCCUGAAGGAGGCGUUCGCCAUGUACGCGACGGGGGGCGGCGAGGAGGGCGCCAGGAUCACGCCGGCGAGCCUGAGGCGGAUGCUGGGCAAGCUGCUGGGGUCCGAGAAGAUGGGGCUGGAGGAGUGCAGGGCCAUGAUCUGCAGGUUUGACCUCAACGGCGACGGCGUCCUCUCCUUCGACGAGUUCAGGGUCAUGAUGAUGGCCAAUUUGUAA